rnacentral:rRNA from 1 species
UACAGAGGUCUCAAGCGUUGUUCGGAUUCAUUGGGCGUAAAGGGCGCGUAGGCUGCGGGGCAAGUCGGGUGUGAAAUCUCAGAGCUCAACUCUGAAACUGCACUCGAUACUGCUUUGCUCGAGGACUGGAGAGGAGAUUGGAAUUCACGGUGUAGCAGUGAAAUGCGUAGAUAUCGUGAGGAAGACCAGUGGCGAAGGCGGAUCUCUGGACAGCUCCUGACGCUGAGGCGCGAAGGCUAGGGGGAGCAAACGGG